rnacentral:rRNA from 1 species
UGCCAGCAGCCGCGGUAAUACGGAGGGUGCAAGCGUUGCUCGGAAUCACUGGGCGUAAAGCGUACGCAGGUGGCUUGUUAAGUCGGGUGUGAAAUCCCGGAGCUCAACUCCGGAACUGCGCCCGAAACUGGCAGGCUUGAGUACGGGAGAGGGAAGCGGAAUUCCUGGUGUAGAGGUGAAAUUCGUAGAUAUCAGGAGGAACACCAGUGGCGUAAGCGGCUUCCUGGCCCGAUACUGACACUCAGGUACGAAAGCGUGGGUAGCAAACAGGAUUAGAUA